UGCUCACUUCAGCAGCACCGUAGUGAAAAUGGAGUGAGCAGAGAAGACUAGCAUGGCCCUAUGUAAGGAUGGCAUGCAAACCCAGGGAGUGUUCCAUAUUUUC